rnacentral:rRNA from 1 species
UACAGAGGGUGCGAGCGUUGUUCGGAAUUACUGGGCGUAAAGAGCGCGCAGGCGGUCGUUCAAGUCGAGUGUGAAAGCCCCCGGCUCAACUGGGGAGGGUCACUCGAUACUGAUCGACUUGAAGGCAGGAGAGGGAAGCGGAAUUCCCGGUGUAGUGGUGAAAUGCGUAGAUAUCGGGAGGAACACCAGUGGCGAAGGCGGCUUCCUGGCCUGUUCUUGACGCUGAGGCGCGAAAGCUAGGGGAGCAAACGGG